GAUGAACGCUGGCGGCGUGCCUAAUACAUGCAAGUCGAGCGAACGGACGAGAAGCUUGCUUCUCUGAUGUUAGCGGCGGACGGGUGAGUAACACGUGGAUAACCUACCUAUAAGACUGGGAUAACUUCGGGAAACCGGAGCUAAUACCGGAUAAUAUUUUGAACCGCAUGGUUCAAAAGUGAAAGACGGUCUUGCUGUCACUUAUAGCUGGAUCCGCGCUGCUUUAGCUAGUUGGUAAGGUAACGGCUUACGAAGGCAACGAUGCAUAGCCGACCUGAGAGGGUGAUAGCCCACACUGGAACGGAGACACGGUCCAGACUCCUACGGGAGGCAGCAGUAGGGAAUCUGCCGCAAUGGGCGAAAGCCUGACGGAGCAACGCCGCGUGAGUGAUGAAGGUCUUCGGAGCGUAAAACUCUGUUAUGAGGGAAGAACAUAUGUGUAAGUAACUGUGCACAUCUUGACGGUACCUAAUCAGAAAGCCACGGCUAACUACGUG
rnacentral:rRNA from 1 species